CUCUGCUGGUGCCAGCCCUGACAUCAUCCUGCAAGCUUGUCACACCGGUUCCUAUCCAGCUACAAAGGCCUCUCCUUGCUCCCUGCUCACACCAGCCAGCCCAUCAUGGACUGCUGUAUUGCAUAUAUCUGCGCGGCAUCAUGGUGAGGCUGGAUCUCCAGGGAGGAGACAAGAGGAAAGAGAGAGGAGCCUUUCUGACUUAGAGGGGCCCUGUAGAUCAUGGCUGAUAGGAAAGCUGGUCAGGGAGCGUGGAGGAAGCCCUCCCUGUUGGUGUCAUUGUCAGUGUGCAAUUUGAUGUCCCUCAAGCACUCAGCACCACCUCACCUUGCGUGCCUGUCUACUCAUUUGCCAGGAAUCACAGCUACUUUCAUGGCAUGUUACAAUUGAGGCACUUAUCUCAAAAUAUCAUCUGGACUCAUCACUAUUUUGAGACGACUGUAGUUGACAGGCCCAGUCUUCAGAUCUCGUUAACUCACAGUCUAAAAAAGAACAUAUAUAGGAUUAUCUCACAAUUUUAAAACAUUUUGAAAACUGUGCUGAGUGCCGUGUGGGUGUGCUUUGCAUUCCUCC
rnacentral:lncRNA from 1 species